UCUAGUGCUUUGCGAACGUCUCCCGAAACAGCAGAGACCUUCCGGGCACAGAACUGAAUUGCGGCACUGUCCAGGACCUGAUCUCUGGACACCUUCGGACAAAACACGGACGGUGACAGUCUGAACUACGAGAGUCCCCCGCUUUGCAGCCGAUCGGGGACAGCUGUAUUCAGGACCAGCUUUGCUUGCUGGUAGCAAGUGCCUGUGCCAGACAUGAAAGGACAAUUAGAUACAACAGAGGCGACGGAGAAGACCCGAUGGGUUUCAUCUGGGUUUCCCAGCCUUGUUUAAAGGCUGCACGAAUAGCUGCUGUGAAAGAACGAACCUUCUUGCUUAAACAGCUUCAGACACGCAGAUUCCUUCUCCGGUGGACGUCUCUGCUCAGAAUGUGUUGUGAUGUCUUGACCUUUGCGAACAGAGGAACAUAUUUUGUUUUGGUGAA